GAUGGUAGUGUAUUGGACCACCAUGGCAGUCACGGGUAACGGAGGAUUAGGGUUCGAUUCCGGAGAGGGAGCCUGAGAAACGGCUACCACAUCUAAGGAAGGCAGCAGGCGCGUAAAUUACCCAAUCCUGACUCAGGGAGGUAGUGACAAGAAAUAACGGACCGAAGCCUAUGUUUCGGGAUUGCAAUGAGUAGAAUUUAAACCCCUUUACGAGGAUCAAUUGGAGGGCAAGUCUGGUGCCAGCAGCCGCGGUAAUA
rnacentral:rRNA from 1 species